GAUGAACGCUGGCGGCGUGCCUAAUACAUGCAAGUCGAGCGAACGGACGAGAAGCUUGCUUCUCUGAUGUUAGCGGCGGACGGGUGAGUAACACGUGGAUAACCUACCUAUAAGACUGGGAUAACUUCGGGAAACCGGAGCUAAUACCGGAUGAUAUUUUGAACCGCAUGGUUCAAAAGUGAAAGACGGUCUUGCUGUCACUUAUAGAUGGAUCCGCGCUGCAUUAGCUAGUUGGUAAGGUAACGGCUUACCAAGGCAACGAUGCAUAGCCGACCUGAGAGGGUGAGCGGCCACACGGGAACGGCCAGGGUCCAGACCCCUAGGGGAGGCAGCGGGAGGGAAUCUUCCGAAAGGGGCGAAAGCCUGACGGAGAAACGCCGCGGGAGGGAUGAAGGUUUUCGGAUCGUAAAACUCUUUUUUUGGGGAAAAAAAUAUGUGUAAGUAACUGGGCACAUUUUGGCGGUACCUAAUCAGAAAGCCACGGCUAACUACGU
rnacentral:rRNA from 1 species